UGGGGAAUUGUUCGCAAUGGGCGCAAGCCUGACGACGCAACGCCGCGUGGAGGAUGAAGGUCUUCGGAUUGUAAACUCCUGUUGCUCGGGACGAAAAGCUUCGACCUAAUACGUCGAAGUCUGACGGUACCGAGUGAGGAAGCCCCGGCUAACUCUGUGCCAGCAGCCGCGGUAAUACAGAGGGGGCAAGCGUUGUUCGGAAUUACUGGGCGUAAAGGGCGCGUAGGCGGCCUGCUAAGUCGAACGUGAAAUCCCUGGGCUCAACCCAGGAACUGCGUCCGAUACUGGUUGGCUUGAAUCUGGGAGAGGGAUGUGGAAUUCCAGGUGUAGCGGUGAAAUGCGUAGAUAUCUGGAGGAACACCGGUGGCGAAGGCGACAUCCUGGACCGGCAUUGACGCUGAGGCGCGAAAGCCAGGGGAGCAAACGGGAUUAGAUACCCCGGUAGUCCUGGCCCUAAACGAUGAAUGCUUGGUGUGGUGGGUAUCGAUCCCUA
rnacentral:rRNA from 1 species